rnacentral:tRNA from 1 species
UAGCGGGAGUAAAUAGGUUUUACAUACUAGCCUAUUUGAGAGAACAGGUUCCCGCC